rnacentral:rRNA from 1 species
GUGUCAGCAGCCGCGGUAACACGUAGGGGGCAAGCGUUGUCCGGAUUUAUUGGGCGUAAAGAGCUCGUAGGUGGUUCGGUAAGUCGGGUGUGAAACCUCCAGGCUCAACCUGGAGACGCCACCCGAUACUGCUGUGACUGGAGUCCGGUAGGGGAGCGUGGAAUUCCUGGUGUAGCGGUGAAAUGCGCAGAUAUCAGGAGGAACACCAGCGGCGAAGGCGGCGCUCUGGGCCGGUACUGACACUGAGGAGCGAAAGCGUGGGUAGCAAACAGGAUUAGAUACCCUGGUAGUCC